rnacentral:rRNA from 1 species
UACGUAGGGUGCAAGCGUUGUCCGGAAUUAUUGGGCGUAAAGAGCUCGUAGGCGGUCUGUCGCGUCGGCUGUGAAAUCCCGGGGCUCAACCCCGGGCGUGCAGUGGAUACGCGCUGGCUGGAGGCAGGCAGGGGAGAACGGAAUUCCUGGUGUAGCGGUGAAAUGCGCAGAUAUCAGGAGGAACACCAAUGGCGAAGGCAGCUCGCUGGGACGUGACUGACGCUGAGACGCGAAAGCGUGGGGAGCAAACAGG